rnacentral:rRNA from 1 species
GACGUAGGGGGCGAGCGUUAUUCGGAAUUAUUGGGCGUAAAGCGCUCGUAGGCGGGAUUGCAAGUCCGUGUUGAAAGACCUCGGCUCAACUGAGGGACCGGCUCGGAUACUGUGAUUCUUGAGGCAAUCAGAGGGUGAUGGAAUUCCCGGUGUAGCGGUGAAAUGCGUAGAUAUCAGGAGGAACACCGGUGGCGAAGGCGGGUCUCUGGGCCGAUACUGACGCUGAGGAGCGAAAGCGUGGGGAGCGAACAGG